GACCGAGUCAAUAUGGUGAAUAAGAUGAUUUUCCACCAGUCAUCUUUGUUUGAAGUCAUCAUGCCAAUAUCUGGCGACAACAUUGAACACCAGGCUGGAUCCACAGUUGGACAGAUGAUUCCCUCAGGAUCCAUGGGGGAAACUGUGUCCAAAGAGUGGCUGUUGGAGAAUGAAGUCUCAGUGGGAGACACAACAUUGCACAAGAGCCUGCCUGAAGAAAGACC